AGAGUUUGAUCCUGGCUCAGAACGAACGCUGGAGGCAUGCUUAACACAUGCAAGUUGAACGAUCUGUAUUGGUAGCAAUAUCGAUGCAGGUAGUGGCAAACGGGUGAGUAACACGUGGGAAUGUGCCCUUUAGUUCGGAAUAACGUUUGGAAACGAACGCUAAAACCGGAUAAGCCCGAGAGGGGAAAGAGAAAUCGCUAAAGGAGCGGCCCGCGCUAGAUUAGGUAGUUGGUGUGGUAAAGGCGCACCAAGCCAAUGAUCUAUAGCUGGUCUGAGAGGACGAACAGCCACACUGGAACUGAGACACGGUCCAGACUUCUACGGAAGGCAGCAGUGGGGAAUAUUGGACAAUGGGGGAAACCCUGAUCCAGCAAUGCCUCGUGAGUGAAGAAGGCCUUAGGGUUGUAAAGCUCUUUUAUUAGGGAAGAUAAUGACGGUGCCUAAUGAAUAAGCUCCGGCAAACUUCGUGCCAGCAGCCGCGGUAAUACGAAGGGGGCAAGCGUUGUUCGGAAUAACUGGGCGUAAAGGGUGAGUAGGCGGUUUAGUAAGUUUGGUGUGAAAUACUUGGGCUCAACCUGAGAACUGCACUGAAGACUGCUAGGCUAGAGAGUUGUAGGGGAUGACGGAAUUAUGCAUGGAGAGGUGG
rnacentral:rRNA from 1 species